ensembl:lncRNA
CCUUUUUAUCCUGUCACACCCUCAAUGACUUAAUAAUAAACUGUAAUAAAUAAAAUUAUAUUUUAUUACACAAAGGUUCAAACUAUAGCUUAGUCCUGCCCAGCAGCAGCAUUAAUUUAUUUGGGAAAACUCCCCAAAGUAUACAGUGAGCACCAGUACUGAGUUCAGAGAGUUUCCUGCUCAAGACCCUGCAAAAUAUCUGUCUUGGGAAGAUUUAAGUUUCAAAGUGUGCAUCAGAACUGUACAUUGUGUUGUAUCUAUGUUUUCUCAUAUUGAUGAAUAUAUGAGGAUGUAUUAAUGUUAUGCUACUCUGAUCUUAGCGGUUUUUCAGAAUUCCUAAGAGUUGUCCUUACGCUUCAGAAUUUCCUAACAUUAUCCUAUUUAUGUAUGAUAACAUAACAGUAUGCCACAUAAGCAAACAAGAGUUUUCCAAAUUUUCAAAUGCUUUUCCUUUCUGUAUACAAUGAUUUUAAUGCUCUGGAAUUUAUUCAUGCAUCUUCAGAUCAUCAUGUCAAUAUUGAAGUUAAGUAUCUCUAGCAUGCUUGCAGUUGUGGCAAACUUCUCCAGGAGGCGUAACGAGAAUCGCCUGAACCAGUUAGUGUUCAUUAUUUUCAGGAGAAAUAGAUUGAGUAUCAAUCUGCAUUGAAAGGGGAUAAAAUGUUUUUUGGUUUUUUUUUAAGUUGAUUAGUAUGUUUUCUUCAGAAUGCCUUUUUGAUUACAAAGUCAUGUGUGCUGAUGUCUGCAUUCUUUACAAUUCUCUAGUUUUUGAGAUUUCUCAAAAAUAUUGUUAAAGCAUCUUUAAUUCUGGUAACGUGUAUGUAGUCUAGACUAUCUGUUGAUAGCUAAGCUUAGUUUCUGUGGUUGCUCAAAUUUGCUUACAGUUUCCUUCACGUAUUCCUCAAGUGGGGCGAUUUUUUUUUGACUGAAGACAAAGUUUAAGUUUUGCACUCUAACCUUUUCCAGUUGUACAUAGUAAAAUUCCUUUAGUAUGCAUUUCUCACCUAGACAGACUGUGCUCAAUAAAAGGUCAAUUUGAAUACCAGGGAGAAGUCUGCAAAGAAAAUUUAAAUAUGUAAUAAUUUAUGUUUUUAACUUUUAAAUUCCUGCUCAUGAUGGCUAUAUUUUUCUUUGUAAACUUUGGGCUCUUCCCAGUAUUUACUGAGUGUACAUGUGUAAUCUCUUAGAGCCUUUUGUACUUUAAAAGGCAGUAUCCUUUAUCUUUACAGUCUUUCAUGAAAUUUCUAAAAUAAUUUGAACUUUGCAACGUUUCAUGCGUUGUUUCUUUCUUCAUGUCUUUUUACCUGUAUGCUUUUUAAGGCUGAAAUGUGUAGAAUAUUUAUUGUGAAGUUUUCACAUCAGGCGUCCUAACACACUUGUGCAUGUGCUCUGUUUUAUUCUUACAAGUUUUCUAUUAACUCAUAAACGAAGACUCUAAAAGCCGCAGGAAGUAUACAGAGCUCAGUUGUCAUAAUGGCCAUAGCCUUUAGUUGGUUUUGAAUUAAGUUAUUCAGAAUUUGCUUAUUUUGAGAGGCUGUCAGGUUCUAUAAUUUGCACCAAAAAUGUUUGAACUACAUAUUCCAGAUAUGCAGCAGAGUGCAAUGUUAUGAACUGUCAAAGAUACCAGCGCUGAAUAUAGUCACAGUUCAAGUAUUUUAACCAAUUUCACUCAUUGAUGCACACAAGAAAGUAAUGUAGACUUCUGCACAGACAUUUUACAAAGCAUUUUGAACUAUUUUUCUGGGUCUGUAUUCUAGCUUGGACUUGUUUCUUACCUCAGCCGUUUAUUGAUCGAGAGAAAAUGACAGUUGAAGAAGUAUAAACACUUGAAGAAAAACUUAAUUGUUUAUCUAAAAGCUUUACCUUUGUAACCACUAUGUUCCCACAGGUGUUCUACUUUCAUCCAACUUUUCCCUUAGCUUCAGAUUUGCUUAUACCUCAGAAAAUCUAUAAUGGAGAAGAAGUGGGAGCGUUAUGUUUACUUUACACCAUGUGUAAAUGGCAGUUGUGAAUUUAUGAACUGAGGGGUCUCAAUUCUCUGACUUCAGGUACAGGAAUGCAUGUCCAGCCCCACUGGAUUGUACACAGCAGCAGUACACCUGGAAAACAUAAGCUUCUAUACAGCCCCAGCUUUGCCAUGCUAAUAGACUUUAAAGGAGUGGUCUGCAGUGAGCAGUACAAGACGAUCAUAAGAGGAU